rnacentral:lncRNA from 1 species
AAGAACUGUGCUCCAAUUCCUGUUUCUGAAGCUUUUCAUUUUCUCAUGUCUCUCACCAAAUUGUCUCACCUGUUUGUAACAUCCCAGAAAACAAACUUUGGGCAAUUAACUUCUGAUUUCUGAAUAAAAGCGGCGAUUGGUUUCAAGUGUAGACAGUACAACUAUAUAUACAAGUUGAACCAUGAAAUGCACGGCAAGAUCAACAAAUUAGCCACAAACUAAUAGCAUAUAUGCAGUACUUCUUGUCCCCUUCACAGGUACGUACGCUGUUUCAUAUAUAACAAGAGGCGUGUGUUGGGGUUCAAUUUUUCUGUCCCCUUAACGUAUUCAAUUUGAUUUAAAGAAAAGCUCCUUUGUUUUUCAUAAAUCUUUAGUACUAUUUGUAUAUAUUUUAUAAGCUGCUUAAAUUAUAGAUGUGAUUAUAUUUGAAAUCAAGUGUGAGGGUGAAUGUGAAUUCAGAUAGAAGAGAAAAAAUAAGUUAUUUUCUAAAUUUAUUUCUUUUCUUUCUAUAAAAAUGUAAUUAAAUAAUAAUAGAUGAUAUAACAAAAAUAUAUAUAAAAACAGAGAAAUUCAUAUCAGCUCGUUUUGAAGUUCAGGAACCGGAACCAUCAUGUUUGGGUUAAAGUUUUCAAAUUAAAUUUGUAAAAUGAGUUUGCAAAAAUAUGUAAGGUUAUGUUUGGAUUUUGUUUAAAAUAUGGAGCACAAAUUCCAAGAAAAAUCUAAUAGUCCACAAAUUUAAUUUUGCUAAAAGGAUUUGAAUGGUUUUGCAAACCUUAUUGUCUCAAAAUUCUAUUUGCACCAAUAAAACAAACAUACACUUAAAUGUUAUUUCUCCGAAAUUGAGUUUGGAGACAAAAUUUUAGUCUCAAACCUAUUUUUAGAGAAUAGUAUUUUGAAAUUAUUUCCUCUCAAAUAUACUUUUUUAUCCUUUCAUCCAUCCGAAAACCAAACACGCAUAUGUUCAAAAAUGCAUUCUUCUCAUGUUAAAUGAAAAAAUUCUUCAAUUCAAAACAAAAAACAUCAAAACAACUACGGUGUUGCUUUUUUGUUGCGUCUGGUUCACUGCCUACACAAACACUCUAUAAUUAAUGGUGAUUGAUUAUGUGUGUAUUUGCUUUGCUGGUUAAAUGUGGUGAAACGAAAUCCAAUACGCAUUCACUACAAAAGCCAGAAAUGCGAUGCUUUUGAAAAUAGAGGUUAAUGUAAACAUUCUUUGGGACUGACAAUCCAUAUACGUAUUAUAAGAAAAUAAGAUUUAUUUUUAUUUAUAUGAUGUGACACAAAUAACUUACAACUUAAACUCUUUAAAAAUAUGAUAAGAGUUUGAUUGGGAACCUAUAUGAAGAGAAAAAUCAUUCCUUAAUCGAUACUCUAUUUUAUUAGUCUCAUAAUAUAUAUAAAUUACAACUAUCUAAAAAAAUGGUAGUUUAACAAAAUUUAGUAAGAUAUCAGUACAUUCAUAUGAGUCAGUCUUUUUUAUUUUUAUGCAUAUUUGAAAUACAUAUAUUUAUAUAUCCAAAAUUUACAUUGAGAUAAAUAUAAUUAACUAUUUAAGUUUUCAAAAACUGCAAAGAGAUUGGAAAUAUUUAAACAGAAAAAAUAUAUUUAGUUAUUAUCUCAUAAGUAUUUUACAUUUUGUUAUAUAUAUAUAUAUAUAUAUAUAUAUAUAUAUAUAUAUAUAUAUAUAUAUAUAUAUAUAUAUAUAUAUAUAUAUAUAUAUAUAUAUAAUUGUAUGAGAAAUUUUCACUAAAAAAUCUGUCCAGAUUUAAUAUUUAAUAUUUUUUAAACAUAAAUUAUUUUCAUACGGUAGUUUAUUGAAAAUAAUUAUAACUGUACUAUUAAACAAGUAUUUUAAUGAAUUUAAAGAUUAAGAUAAUGAUAUAAAAUUUUGUUGUAUUUAUAUGAAUAAUUUAUUUAAUAAAAAAAUUCUUAUUUGAUUUUCAUCUUAUAUACAAAAUUUGGUUAGACCAAUAACAUUCAUAUUUUAUAAAUAAAAUUAAUUUCUAAUCUAAUAAAUUAAACAAUACCCGUAAUCUUUCACCCAAAAAAAAAAUCUCUCACAUUAGGAAAAAAGUAUUUUAACGAAAAAUGCAUAUAAUAUGAUACAGAUCAUAAAUCAUACAAUGCAUUGGUUAUAAAAGAGAGAAAGGAUUGGAGUGAAGACUGAACAAUCCAUCCAUCAAUCAAUCAAACUUGUAAACUGAAAAGAACCAAACAGUUACUUAUAAGCAACACGACAGCUAGCCAAGUCAGUCAACACACAACACAAACAUGGACAAGGGAUAUAUAGUCCGUAAUCUUCGUAAUCACAUUUGAGAAGUGUCUACUAUUACAUUAUCUUACACACUUCUCUAAUCGUGUUUUUUUAUUCAUUAAAAUUUAUUAAGAAUUAUAAAAUUAUAAAAAAAAUCGUUAAAUAGCAUGAGAAAUCACAAAAUUUUGAGAAUUUCAAUCAUUUUUAAUUAAUGAAAAAAAUGCAUUUAAAAAAUUGUGUUCCCAAUAUUUUCAUCAUAUUUUAUAUUAUAAAAUACUACAGUUUUAUGUAUUUCAUAAAUGUUUCAAAAAAAUUAUUCGUUUUUCUGCUACUCAUCAAUUUCACGUGAAAUAACUCUUUGGGAAAUCUUUACUGUAAAAUUUAUUAAAAUAAACUCGUUUCAUUAAAUAUUAUAUAUAUGAUGUAAUAUUAAAGCUUAUAUAAUAAAAAUGGAUUGAAGUGUCAAUUUGAGUUGAAAUAAGUAGUUAAGGAUAUGGAAUUAACUUGAACUUUUUUACAUAUGGAAUGAGGCUAACUAAAUCUCAAAAAGCAAUUUAAAGAGAGAGAAUUGACCAACUUUCAUAUAUAAGAAACUCUCUGAUUUUAUUCCUAAUUAACCAAGAACACCUUAAUUAGUUAAUACACGUACACAUUCAUGUAAAAUUUACAAAACACAUACGAAUAUACGAUAGCUAACGAUUUAACAAAAGCUAGAUUUGGAAGGAUAUGAUAUACUAUUCACCAAAAAAAGAAGGAUAUUAUAUACUGUGAUGAUUAUUAUGAAUCUAUAAAAUUGAAUAAAAGUAUAUAUUGCGACAUUAAAUGGUAAACACAUAAUUGGAUUUUUAUAAUCAGUAUGUUGUAAUUUAAAGAAUUUAUAUACAUUUUUGAGAAACAAUAAUGUAAACAAAUUUUACAUAACAGUACCCAUAAAUUAAAUUUCCAACAAAAUGUAAAUGUUAAUGUUAUGCAACAAAUUUAAGUUUUGAGUAAAAAAAAAAGUGUUGGUCCAACCUUAGAGGUCCAAUGUUGCAGGGUUCACCUGCUGCUUUGUAGCCUCUGGUUUUGGCAUCUUGGAAAUGUACUUACCAUACUUCCAGGUCGUUCCACACGUGAACUUUGUCCCACCAUUUUCCUUCUCUUGUUACAAAAGACUCAAUUACGAUGAAUUCUGUACACGAUAAAGCCAUUUUUAGGUCAAUCUUUUAGUCAUUGAAAAAAACAUUUCCUUAAAAACGUAAAUAAUCUGUAUAUUCGUUUGAUGAUCUUGGAUAAUUAAAUUUGGGACCCAAGACGGAUGGGAUGAUAAAACUUUUGUCUGACUUGAUGGAAAGACAUGAUUAAAUUAUCGAUGAAUUUUUAUAAUCAUUGUUUAUUUAUUAUAUAAAAAUCAAUUGAAAAUUGUAAUAUAUUGUUAAUAUAAAAAAUUUACUAUGUUAAUCAAUUAAAACUAUUUUAGAUAUGAUUUUAAAAUAUGUAUUAUAAAAAAUUGAAAACCUUACCUCACAUAACAAAUUAUGGUUAAAUUUUUAUACUAUCAAAAUUGUUUUAAUUAAGUUCUUAAUUGUAAUAUUCGUGACAUUCAAAACAUUUUUUUUACUAGAGCUCAUUGUUUGGAAGGAGAGAGAGAUAUAUGACAUAAAUUCUAAAUAAGCUUAAAUAACAAUUUGAUCCUUAUAAAACAUUCUCUCUUUGUUUUUGUUUUUUUUAAAUAAUAUUUUAAUUUUAUUUUUUUAAAAUAAAAAUAUUUAAUCACUAUUGUUAAAUAAUAACAUUAAUUAAUAAAAUAAUAACUUGAGAUGACAAUGAAUAAUAUAUACAGUAAGUACGCAUAAAAUUUUAUGGACACGGGUGUGGUACCUUAGUACCCAACCCUAUCCAUACUUAAUAAUAAUAAUAAUAAACACAAUACUAAAAACAAAAAAGAGUAAUUAGGCACGCUUACUAAGCACUCAUGCAUUAAGCUUAGGAUUUUCAAAGAGUAUGUAAAACCCACACGCACUUCCAUUCUCAAAGCUUAUGCAAAUUAUGCGUUACAAAUCUAAGCUCAAAGUCUAUUUUUCAAAUUAAAUGAUUUCCACCACACCAAUAGCAUUUAGCAUUAGUCACAGAGGUGAAAUAAAAGCAUAAAGAGUAUAAUUAAAACUUAUUUAAACAAGCUAAAAGGUUUUAGAAUAUUAAUUUGAUAACUCCGAAAUUUUGGUUUAAUUGAUAAUCAAUUUUGACUAAGAAUGAUUAGAAUUUCUCAAUUUUAUUAUUGUUUUUAAUGAAAUAAUGAGGAUUUUAAUAUUAUUUUAAUUUUUAGACUAGCAGGGUUCAAAAGAAGGAAAUUACAAGUGAUUUAGAGAAAAAAUUGAAGCAAAAACGUAAAGAGAAAGUUAACGAUUGGGGCAAUUCACUUAGCACACAAGACUAGCCCAACGCGUCUCCUAGUUUAGAGAUGAGCUCAAGCUUAGUGCAAAGAAAGUCCACGAAGAAGCUCAAAUGCAUGCUCAACGCAAAUCCUGCGCUAAGCGUGUAAUUGCCGUCAUACUCACUAAGCCCAGACGCUAUCGCACUCAGCCUGUGAUCACACCGUCAUACCUGCUAAUCCCAGAAGGGCAUGCUUAUCGCGAGGUCGCAUGUAAGCUAUCUUAGGCCUAUAAAAGGAGUAGGAAGUAAAUGAGAAAGACACACGAGACUCAACUCUAUAUUGAAUACACCCAAAGUCUGAGCAUCUCUACUAGGGAAAAUCUUCCUUCUAUAGCCAUCCUCUAUUCUCUUCCUUUAUUCAUUCUUUUCCUUUUUUUAUCCACGUUAACUCUUAAAGUGUAAAGUCUCUCGUGACAAUGAAAGACUAAACCCUUAUUGUUGGGAGCUUGGCAGACCAAACUCUUGUAAUAUAAUUUUUCCCUAUUAUCUAUUUAAUGUAAUUUCAUAUUGUAUUGCUAUUUUUUGUGCU